GGUUUUUAGAAAUUAUUAAAAAUCAAGCCUGCUCAAUGCUUAGUAAAUAGCCGCGGUAUCCUGACCGUGCAAAGGUAGCAUAAUCAUUAGCCUUAUAAUUGAAGGCUGGAAUGAAUGGUUUAACUAAAUUAAUUUGUCUUAUGAUAAUAUUUUAAAUUUUAUAUUUUGGUAAAAAAGCUAAAAUAUCAAUUAGGGACAAGAAGACCCUAUUGAGCUUUACAAUAAAUACUAAACAAAUAUUUGUUUAGUAUUUAUUGUUUUGCUGGGGCAGUAAGAAAUCUAAUACUUCUUUAACAUUAUGAAUUAUAAUUCUUGUAAAAUCAAAAACUUUUUAAUAAAAAAUAAGUUACCGUAGGGAUAACAGCGUAAUUUUUCUUUAGAGAACAUAUCAACAGAAAAGCUUGCGACCUCGAUGUUGGAUUAAGAAUCCUAUUUCACGCAGCUAUGAAAAAAGGAAGUCUGUUCGACUUUUAAAUUCUUCCA
rnacentral:rRNA from 1 species